CAAUUUUUGGCAAGAUUUUCUCUAACCAGCUCCAUACUUUCGAAACUUUCAAAGAUUUGGGCCAUUUGAUUUUAAUAUGUGUUGUGAUUUCCAUAUCACUCUUUUGGGCCAAAUGGUACACCGCUAUUGGGCUUAAAAAUAAAAUUUCCCAACGACUAAAUUAUUUACGGCUACGAACACAUAUUUCAAACGGAUCAAGCAUAUUAAAUACUAACGUGUAUAGCACAUUUGUUGAAUCCCUUAAAAUGUGCAAAAUAUUCCUUCGCUAUUCAAUCAAACAAAAAAACUAUAUGUAGAUCCCUUCAAAUGAGCAAACGCACCACAAAAACAUUCCUAAUCUAUUCACUAAAUCUUA
rnacentral:sRNA from 1 species